rfam:Heterocephalus glaber contig126270, whole genome shotgun sequence.
GUCUACGGCCAUACCACUCUGAAUGCGCCCGAUCUCGUCUGAUCUCGGAAGCUAAGCAGGGUCGGGCCUGGUUAGUACUUGGAUGAGAGAAUGUAUUGAUACCUAUUUUUGAAUAUA